UAAUUGAAGAGUUUGAUCAUGGCUCAGAUUGAACGCUGGCGGCAGGCCUAACACAUGCAAGUCGGGCGGUAACAGGGGGAAGCUUGCUUCUCUGCUGACGAGCGGCGGACGGGUGAGUAAUGUAUGGGGAUCUGCCUGAUGGCGGGGGAUAACUACUGGAAACGGUAGCUAAUACCGCAUAAUGUCUUCGGACCAAAGCGGGGG
rnacentral:rRNA from 1 species